rnacentral:misc_RNA from 1 species
CUUCAACAGACGAUGCUACUCCUCUCAUUGCCAUCCAAAAAGCCUGCGAAGUUAUACAAGCUAAAGCAUCUUUCAAAGGGGGAGUUUAUAACUAAUGAUCCUAGUGGAUGUACAUUUACCUUGGGAUUCGAUAAUCUUAGAAGCCAGAGUGUUGCUCCACCUCAGUCGACUAUGCGCAACAUUGAUGAUAGGUCAGCGUAGCUGGUGACAACUCUUUCAUCCCAUCUUCCUUUCAUGAAUGAGGAAAGAGUUCUAAAUUGAAGAUUUUCUCCAUCUGAUGCGUUGCUAGUUUUCUUGAAUUUAGUUUACUAAAGAGUUAUUAUUUUCAGUUUAUCUCAUUCAUUUAAAUUUCUUUUGUAGUAAUCGCCUUAUAUUUUGUGUCUUAAACAUCUGCAAAGAUGUACUUGGCCGUCUACCCAAAGUAGUUGGAAUAGAUGUUGUGGAGAUGGCACUUUGGGCUAAGGAGAAUACGCCUACAGUUACCAAGCAAAGGAAUCUGCAAGAUGGGCCUGUUGCCACUACAGUGGCAGAAAGUGAAUUGAAAGUCAGUGUCGAAAAAGAACUUGUCUCCCAAGCUGAGGAAGAGGAUAUGGAGGCCCUGCUUGAUACUUAUGUCAUGGGUAUUGGUGAAGCUGAGGCAUUUUCUGAAAGGUUAAAACGUGAACUUCUUGCUCUUGAAGCUGCAAAUGUGCAUGCUAUUUUAGAAAAUGAACCUUUGAUAGAAGAGGCAUUUCCUUUGAUAGUAUAAUUGUAUGCAAGAGUUUAGCCUUUUUGUUUUAAUAUUGUAAUAGUUUCUAUGAGUUUAAUGUCUGUUCUUUUGGUUGAGUUUUUGUUAUAAAAUUUAUUGUGCAUUGUAGAUGUUAUCUCCCUCCCUUGUGGUUGAGUUCUUUUAAUAUUUAACAGCUGCAUUUACUGGUGAUAUUUUAUAUGCUGUUUAUGUUUAUUACCUAGUGAUAUUACUUCUGAAGUUAUGAAAUGUACACUGUUCUAUCUUCCUUUGAUUGUUGGGUCUUUUAGGUUCUGCAAGGGCUUGAGGCAGCAACAAAUUGUGUUGAUGAUAUGGAUGAGGAGUUAGGCAUCUUCAAUAUGAAACAUAGACACAUGAGAGAAGACAUUGAGUCGGUGAAAAACCAGCUCAUUUCAUUGCACUAGGGGAUUUAGAAUUCUGUGAUAUUCUUUGCAAGAGAUAUUUUGGGGAGAGAUUAUUCACCUCGAGAUGCUAAAGGCUUACUAUGUACAUUAAAUUAAGUCAUGAUUUUGCCUCUAUAAUUGGCUGAAGCCUGAAGGAGAAUGCUUUAUAUGUUUAUUUUAAAUUUAAUGAUUGAUGAUUAUUGCUUUCAUCAAUAACAAGUUGGAGAUGCAGUCUGUGAAUAAUAAAUUACUCAUUGAAGAGCUUGAUAAGCUCCUUGAACGGUUGCAUGUACCUUCUGAAUAUGCAGCAUGCCUAACUGGAGGUUCAUUUGAUGAAGCACAAAUGCUUCAAAAUGUUGAAGCAUGUGAAUGGUUAACUGGUGCUUUACAUGGUCUCCAAGUACCUAAUCUGGAUCCCAACUAUGCAAACAUGCGUGCUAUUAAAGAGAAGAGGGCAGAACUUGAAAAAUUAAAAACUACAUUUGUUAGGGGAGCUUCUGAGUUCUUGAGAAACUACUUUGCCAGUUUGGUGGAUUUCAUGAUAAGUGACAAGAGUUACUUUUCACAGCGGGGACAGUUGAAGAGGCCUGAUCAUGCAGACUUACGGUACAAAUGCAGAACAUAUGCUCGCUUAUUGCAACAUUUAAAGAGUCUUGAUAAGAAUUGCUUGGGGCCUUUGAGGAAAGCAUAUUGUAGCUCCCUUAACUUGCUUCUUCGCCGGGAGGCUCGUGAGUUUGCUAAUGAGCUUCGUGCUAGUACAAAAACAUCAAGAAAUCCAACUGUCUGGCUUGAAGCUUCCACGGGCUCCAAUCAAAGUCCACAUACUGCUGAUACAUCAUCAGUUUCUGAUGCUUAUGCCAAAAUGCUGACAAUUUUUAUUCCACUCCUUGUGGAUGAGAGUUCCUUUUUUGCACAUUUCAUGUGCUUUGAAGUUCCUACACUUGUCCCCUCAGGUGGUCUUGCUAAUGGUACUAAGGGUGGAAAUGACAAUGAUGAGGACAAGGAUGAUGAUGAUGAUUUGGGUAUUAUGGACAUUGAUGGGAAUGACAGUAAGGCUGGUAAAAAUUCUGCAGAUCUGGCUGCACUAAAUGAAUCUCUUCAGGACUUGCUUGAUGGAAUUCAACAGUAGGCAUUGCUGGUGAUUUGGAGAGCGCUUUUGUAGAUUACUUCAAAAUUCUUGGUUUUGACUUGUAGAAGAGCGAUAUCUCUUUGGUCAGAAGGCUGAUGCAGCCGGAUUUGUGCGUCUCUUACUUGGUGAUCUAGAGUCAAGAAUCUCUAUGCAGUUCGGCCGUUUUGUUGGCGAAGCCUGCCAUCAGAUAGAAAGAAAUGAGCGUAAUGUGCGGCAAAUGGGGGUCUUAUCGUAUAUACCAAGGUUUGCAACUCUUGCAACUCGCAUGGAACAGUACAUUCAGGGACAAUCUAAGGAUUUGGUUGAUCAGGCUUAUACAAAAUUUGUUAGCAUAAUGUUUGUAACUUUGGAGAAAAUUGCACAGAGAGAUCUAAAAUAUGCAGACAUAUUUCUUUUGGAGAACUAUGCAGCAUUUCAAAAUAGCUUGUAUGACCUAGCCAAUGUUGUUCCGACAUUAGCCAAAUUUUAUCACCAGACCAGUGAAGCUUAUGAGCACGCCUGUACUCGUCAUAUCAGCAUGAUCAUUUAUUAUCAAUUUGAACGGCUUUUCGAGUUUGCUCACAAGAUUGAGGAUUUGAUGUACACAAUCACACCAGAAGAGAUCCCUUUCCAGCUUGGAUUGUCAAAAAUGGAUCUCCGGAAGAUGUUGAAAGCUAGUUUAUCUGGGGUUGACAAGUCUAUUAGUGCAAUGUAUAAGAAGUUGCAGAAGAACUUAACUUCAGAGGAAUUGUUACCUUCUUUAUGGGAUAAAUGCAAGAAGGAGUUUUUGGACAAGUAUGAAAGUUUUGCCCAACUUGUUGCAAAGAUCUAUCCCAAUGAAACCAUCCCUUCUGUAAUAGAAAUGAGAGAUCUUCUGGCGUCUAUGUAAACUUUGUAACGAGAGCUUACUGUUGCAUAAUCCUUGGAUUUUUUUUUCUUCUUUUUUUUUUUUUUCUUUUUUCUUCUUUUUUUUUUUUUAAAAAUUCAUGAAAAAAUUUGUAAUUGCUUAGAUGUACAAGAAGGCUAAAUACAUUUUUUUUUUUCAAAACUCCCAUUGCUGGUCUUUUUAUUUCAAAAGUUACAAGAGAUAUUGAAGGGACUAAAUUGGCUCAAAUUGAAACUGACUAAAUCGAUUAAUUUCAGUUUUUUCAGUCUGCUUUUAGUUUAUAAUUUUUUCCAGUUAUAUCAUUUCGAUUCAGGUUUUGAAGAAAAAAAAUAUCGGAAAAACAUAACCAAACUGAUAUAAAAUUAAAUUGACACAUUUAUGUAGAGGAUAACGUGUUGUAACUCCACCUGCAGGUCAUGCGUUUGACACCCGCUACAAGAAGAAUUAUUGCUCUUUUUUGACGAUCCUAACCAUUCAUUUAAUGUAAUCUCUGCCGUCCAGCACACUAUAUAUAUAUAUAUAUAUUCCUAACCGUAGCCUUCUCUUUUCUCAAUUCUCAUACAUGCCGCAGUCAUUUGCCCCUUUCCCUUUCAUUCAUUCAAAUGAUUCUCUAGAUCUCCACUCUCUCCACAGGACAAGAAGCAUUGACACAGCCUCCUACUCUCACCUUCAAAGUCCCUCUAUAUUCAAAU